AUUCUGGAGCUGCUUUCUAGGCAGGCAGUGUGAGCUCAGCCCCACGUAGAGCGGGCAGCCGAGGCCUUCUGAGGCUAUGUCUCUAGCGAACAAGGACCCUCAAUCCCAGCUUCCGCCCUGACGGCCAGCACACAGGGACAGCCCUUUCAUUCCGCUUCCACCUGGGGGUGCAGGCAGAGCAGCAGCGGGGGUAGGCACUGCCCGGAGCUCAGAAGUCCUCCUCAGACAGGUGCCAGUGCCUCCAGAAUGUGGCAGCUCACAAGCCUCCUGCUGUUCGUGGCCACCUGGGGAAUUUCCGGCACACCAGCUCCUCUUGGUGCUGCGGAUCCGCAAACGUGCCAACUCCUUCCUGGAGGAGCUCCGUCACAGCAGCCUGGAGCGGGAGUGCAUAGAGGAGAUCUGUGACUUCGAGGAGGCCAAGGAAAUUUUCCAAAAUGUGGAUGACACACUGGCCUUCUGGUCCAAGCACGUCGACGGUGACCAGUGCUUGGUCUUGCCCUUGGAGCACCCGUGCGCCAGCCUGUGCUGCGGGCACGGCACGUGCAUCGACGGCAUCGGCAGCUUCA
rnacentral:lncRNA from 1 species